UGGUAGUAGUCUCGCUUUAUUUAUUGUCAAAUCAUAAAAACAUUAAAACUACUGAUAUUUUUAGGCUUUUUUUUCUUUCUGGUCACCGCUAUGAACCUUUUUUUUUUUUUUUUUUUUUUGGGCAACUGAAGAUUUUAAUAUAAAGCAGGAAGGUUUAGGAAAUUCAAGAGCUUGGGCUUGGGCCAGAAUGAAGACAAGCCUUGGCAUAUAAGUCCGCAGGCCCAUUUAGCUCCCUUUUGAUAAAUGAAAAACGACAUGAAAGUGAAGAAGAACGAGAUAACGCGGCGAUGUCCGAGAGUACUCCGUAAAGCUCGGUCGGAUGACGUCCCGCGGUGAUUGCUCCGAUGAGCACUUGAGAAUCUGAUUUUAACCAGAUGGUGUUGAGCUUGAGGUUGAUCGCGUGAUGGAGAGCGUUCCUUAUUGCUAAAGCUUCCGCCAUGAUAGCUGAGGAGACGUGUUCCUGAAAUAGAGAUCCUCGAGAGAUCUCCUUUCCUUGGAGAUCGGUGAAGAUCCAGGCCAAACCCGCUACUCCCGUGUCAGAUCGCCACGCUGCAUCGGUAUUGCAACAAAUGGAGAUGGGAUGGAGAUUCUGGUAGUUGGUGGAGCGGGUGAUGAUCUGGUAUGAUGAGUCCUUGUUGCGAAUCUUUGAUUGGGCGUGAUCCCAUUCCUUAAGGGCAAUGAUGGCUUUGAGGAUAACAUCGGGUGUUGUUGAAGGCUUCUUCUCGAAGACAAGAUUGUUCCUAGCGACCCACAGAUACCAACAAAUCCAAGGAAAAGCGUUGAUUGUGAAUCCAUACGGAGGAAGAGAAAUCCAGGAGCCAGACGAAAUGAGGGCCUCUUUAAAGGACACGAUUUGGGAGGUAUCGACUAAAUGAGACCAGGGACCUAGGCUCCAUACCUCGCGAGCGAAAGGGCAAUUAAACAGGAGGUGGAGAGUAGUUUCAGGUUCCCCGCAUCUACAGCACAGAAUAGGGGACCAGGGACCUAGGUUCCUCCACCGCUAUGAGCCCAGGGACCUAGGUUCCCCCACCGCUAUGAGCCUUAACUUUCAAGAACUCUGAAAUACGUACUCAUGCUUU
rnacentral:lncRNA from 1 species